GACGAACGCUGGCGGCGUGCUUAACACAUGCAAGUCGAACGGAGAGGCCCCUUUGGGGGUCCUCGAGUGGCGAACGGGUGAGUAACACGUGUGUAACCUGCCCUUGACUUCGGGAUAACUUCAGGAAACUGGGGCUAAUACCGGUUAGGAAUCCUUGCCUCAUCGUGGGGGUUGGAAAGCUUCGGCGGUUUUGGAUGGUCUCGCGGCUUAUCAGCGUGUUGGUGGGGUAGUGGCUUACCACGGCUUUGACGGGUAGCCGGCCUGAGAGGGCGACCGGCCACAUUGGGACUGAGAUGCGGCCCAGACUCCUACGGGAGGCAGCAGUGGGGAAGAUUGCACGAUGGGCGGAAGCCUGAUGCAGCAACGCCGCGUGCGGGAUGACGGCCUUCGGGUUGUAAACCGCUUUCGCCGGUGACGGAGCGUGAGUGACGGUAAUGGGUAAAGAAGCACCGGCUAACUACGUA
rnacentral:rRNA from 1 species